GCUGGGUGUGGUGGUGCACUUCUGUAAUCCCAGCAACUCAGAGAGCUGAAGCAGGAGGAUCCCAAAUUCAAGGCCAGCCUUAGUAACUUGUGAGACCCUGCCUCAA
rnacentral:sRNA from 1 species